GAUAAACGCUGGCGGCGUGCCUAAUACAUGCAAGUCGAUCGCUGGAGCUCAAGCUUGCUUGAGUGAAGGAGAGGCGAACGGGUGAGUAAUACGUAAGCAACCUGCCUACACGGACUGGGAUAACACCUGGAAACGGGCGCUAAUACCGGAUAGGUAAUGAGAAGGCAUCUUCUUAUUAUUAAAGGUUUGAAACACAAGUAGAUGGGCUUACGGUGCAUUAGCUAGUUGGUGAGGUAACGGCCCACCAAGGCGAUGAUGCAUAGCCGGCCUGAGAGGGUGAACGGCCACAUUGGGACUGAGACACGGCCCAGACUCC
rnacentral:rRNA from 1 species